rnacentral:rRNA from 1 species
GAUGAACGCUGGCGGCGUGCCUAAUACAUGCAAGUCGAGCGAACAGAUGAGGAGCUUGCUCCUCUGACGUUAGCGGCGGACGGGUGAGUAACACGUGGAUAACCUACCUAUAAGACUGGGAUAACUUCGGGAAACCGGAGCUAAUACCGGAUAAUAUAUUGAACCGCAUGGUUCAAUAGUGAAAGACGGUUUUGCUGUCACUUAUAGAUGGAUCCGCGCCGCAUUAGCUAGUUGGUAAGGUAACGGCUUACCAAGGCAACGAUGCGUAGCCGACCUGAGAGGGUGAUCGGCCACACUGGAACUGAGACACGGUCCAGACUCCUACGGGAGGCAGCAGUAGGGAAUCUUCCGCAAUGGGCGAAAGCCUGACGGAGCAACGCCGCGUGAGUGAUGAAGGUCUUCGGAUCGUAAAACUCUGUUAUUAGGGAAGAACAAAUGUGUAAGUAAGUAUGCACGUCUUGACGGUACCUAAUCAGAAAGCCACGGCUAACUACGUG